rnacentral:rRNA from 1 species
UACCCUCGGGAGGGGGAUAACCCCGGGAAACUGGGGCUAAUCCCCCAUAGGCCUGAGGUACUGGAAGGUCCUCAGGCCGAAAGGGGCUCUGCCCGCCCGAGGAUGGGCCGGCGGCCGAUUAGGUAGUUGGUGGGGUAACGGCCCACCAAGCCGAAGAUCGGUACGGGCCAUGAGAGUGGGAGCCCGGAGAUGGACACUGAGACACGGGUCCAGGCCCUACGGGGCGCAGCAGGCGCGAAACCUCCGCAAUGCUCGAAAGAGCGACGGGGGNACCCCCAGUGCCGUGGCAUCGCCACGGCUUUUCCGGAGUGUAAAGAGCUCCGGGAAUAAGGGCUGGGCAAGGCCGGUGGCAGCCGCCGCGGUAAUACCGGCGGCCCGAGUGGUGGCCGCUAUUAUUGGGCCUAAAGCGUCCGUAGCCGGGCCAGUAAGUCCCUGGCGAAAUCCCACGGCUCAACCGUGGGGCUUGCUGGGGAUACUGCUGGCCUUGGGACCGGGAGAGGCGGAGGGUACUCCUGGGGUAGGGGUGAAAUCCUAUAAUCCCAGGAGGAUCGCCAGUGGCGAAGGCGCUCCGCUGGAACGGGUCCGACGGUGAGGGACGAAGGCCAGGGGAGCGAACCGGAUUANAUACCCGGGUAGUCCUGGCUGUAAAGGAUGCGGGCUAGGUGUCGGGUGAGCUUCNAGCUCNCCCGGUG